rnacentral:rRNA from 1 species
GUGGGGAAUAUUGGACAAUGGGGGGAACCCUGAUCCAGCCAUGCCGCGUGUGUGAAGAAGGCCUUUUGGUUGUAAAGCACUUUAAGUGGGGAGGAGGCUUACCUGGUUAAUACCUGGGCUAAGUGGACGUUACCCACAGAAUAAGCACCGGCUAACUCUGUGCCAGCAGCCGCGGUAAUACAGAGGGUGCGAGCGUUAAUCGGAUUUACUGGGCGUAAAGCGCGCGUAGGUGGUUAAUUAAGUCAAAUGUGAAAUCCCCGAGCUUAACUUGGGAAUUGCAUUCGAUACUGGUUGGCUAGAGUAUGGGAGAGGAUGGUAGAAUUCCAGGUGUAGCGGUGAAAUGCGUAGAGAUCUGGAGGAAUACCGAUGGCGAAGGCAGCCAUCUGGCCUAAUACUGACACUGAGGUGCGAAAGCAUGGGGAGCAAACAGGAUUAGAUACCCUGGUAGUCC